CCCCUAGACGUUCUGGGCUGCACGCGCGCUACAAUAAUACGCACAGCGAGUAUCACCGAGCUCGAAAGGGCAAGGUAAACAAUAGAAAAGGUACUGUAAUGGUUAUAGAUCCUUGUAAUUAUUGAUCUUCAACGAGGAAUUCCUAGUAAGUAUGUGUCAUCAUCACGCACUGAUUACGUCCCUGCCCUUUGUACACACCGCCCGUCGCUCCUACCGAUUGAGUGAGCCGAUGAAACUGCCGGAUGUGGACUAUUCAUAGUCUGCAGAAGAUAUCUGAAUCGUAGCGCUUAGAGGAAGGAGAAGUCGUAACA
rnacentral:rRNA from 1 species